GACGAACGCUGGCGGCGUGCUUAACACAUGCAAGUCGAACGGAGCGAAUGAAAGCUUGCUUUUAUAAGCUUAGUGGCAAACGGGUGAGUAACACGUAGGCAACCUGCCGACAGGAUGGGGACAACAUUCCGAAAGGAAUGCUAAUACCGAAUGAAGUCGAGGGAGGGCAUCCUCCUCCGAUGAAAGAUGGCCUCUAUAUAUAAGCUAUCACCUGUCGAUGGGCCUGCGUCUGAUUAGCUGGUAGGUGAGGUAACGGCUCACCUAGGCGACGAUCAGUAGCCGGUCUGAGAGGAUGAACGGCCACAUUGGGACUGAGACACGGCCCAGACUCCUACGGGAGGCAGCAGUGGGGAAUCUUCCGCAAUGGGCGCAAGCCUGACGGAGCAACGCCGCGUGAGUGAAGAAGGUCUUCGGAUCGUAAAGCUCUGUUGAUGGGGACGAACGUGCCUAAUGCGAAUAGUAUUAGG
rnacentral:rRNA from 1 species